GUAUGAUGAGCUACCUCAAUAGUAUUAUUUGGAAAAGCUGAAAAAAAUGAGUGAGAACUCUCUACAGUCACUCUCAUCCAUCCUGAGGUCC
ensembl:snoRNA SNORD116 Small nucleolar RNA SNORD116